UGCGUAGGCGGAAUGAUAAGUCAGUGGUGAAAUCCCCCGGCUCAACCGGGGAACUGCCAUUGAUACUGUCAUUCUUGAGUACAGUUGAGGUGGGUGGAAUGUAUCAUGUAGCGGUGAAAUGCAUAGAUAUGAUACAGAACACCGAUAGCGAAGGCAACUCACCAAACUGUAACUGACGCUGAGGCACGAAAGCGUGGGGAGCAAACAGGAUUAGAUACCCUGGUAGUCC
rnacentral:rRNA from 1 species